CCGUUUUAGUGAUCUCGUGGAGUCAUUGGUUUUUUUUUUGUCUCUUGAAUGGAAAUAGACAAACGGAAAUGCUCAGUGAAAAUAAAAGUUAGUAUUUCUUGAAUAUUUUACAACUGCACUUUAUUGUUAAUAACUUAUACUAAAAUUGUCAAAGAAAAAUAGUUGAACAUUCAAACAGCUGAUUUGUUUGAACCCUUCCGGUGAGGACCGGAAGUGACGGUUGACAGAUGAAAGCGGUAAACGCAUUUUCAAUCAAAUGUCUAUCAUCUAUAUUCGUGUAUUGAUCACUUGACUUACUGUGAUCUCGUGGGUAAAACAUUUAUCUAAUGGGAUAUUUGAGAUAUCUCACGGGAAAUAGAUUUGUUGGUUUAUUUUACAUCGGAUAGAUGACAUAUGUAUGGACUUAUACUUAUAUUUCAGUUCUACAUAAAAUAAACUAAAUGCAAAAAAAAAAAAUUGAAGUGCCUCCGGUGACGACCGGAAGUUAUGAGGAACAAAACAAAAUAGUUUAAAGACAUGUACAAGUAUAGCUCUAUAAUCCUACAAAGUCUGAAUGCUCAAGAAGAUGCGUGGGUCGUAAAAGCUACAAAUCAACGAUAAAUCGUAGGUGCAUGACUACGGCAAAAAUAAUGUAAACAAAAAAUAAAUUCAGAUCACUUUCAAUCAACUCUGAAUAGAUGGUUUAAAUCGGUCGAAUGGUUUCCGAGAAAUCGCGUGCACAAAUUUUGUUCGGAAAAAAAGAAUAAGAAACAGUACGACACUAUAAGGUCUUCCGUUUUGCGUCAAAAAUAUAUAGUCUAUUUUACUUUUAGCAUAGUUGUUGCCAUCACACCAGGUGAACCAAUUAUGUUUUGGUUUUAUUUUAUGCCACAAAUCAAGUAGUUCAAAACGAUAUUGUAAAUUUUUUUAAACCGUUUAAAGUUUUGUCGUUUUCCUUUGACAUUGAGCAAUUAAAGUCACCAACAAGAAUUAUAUUAUUUUCAUUCAAACAGUACAUUGAUAUCCAUUUUGAUACCUUUUUAACAAAGCUUACUAUAUCGUUUUCAGUAUUUUGAGCAUACAGGUCAAUAAGUGUAAUAGUUUCGUUUUUAUGUUCAAUAUUUAGUACAACUACCCUGCCGUCGGCUGAUUUGUGUUGGUUUUGAGUUAAAAAUAAAAUUUACUACUAAUCAAAAAUUGAAACAUCGUUUCAUUUGUUAUUUAUUCUAAGAAUUGUUUUUAAAUUAGCAUGCGCGGGACCAGAAAAGGAAAGCCAAAUAUUUAUUUUGAAUAAUUGUUUUAUGUAAAUUUAAAACAAAUUAAUAUUUCACCCCCCCCC
rnacentral:sRNA from 1 species